CGAUUGGCUGGCGGCGAGAGGCAGAGCGCGGCGAGCUCCCCCUGGGCCCUCCAAGCCCUCUGGCCUCCAGCGGGCGGGUGAGCUGGAGGGCCCGGGACAGGCCGUGCCCUCUGCCCUUCAGACACCGGAGGCCUACGCUGUGGCUGCCCCACUAGCCAGGCCCAAGCCUUGAAGCGGUGGCGAACCUCUCUACCCCACCCCACUUUGAUGACUUAUGGCGGCGGCUUCUCCCAGCCCGUACCCCAGCCUGGACCCUGCUGGCCACUGGGUCUUCUGGCCCAAGAGUGCCGGGCCUCGACCAAGCCCCAGCUGAGCUGCCCGGAUGUGCCUUUGCGGCGGCGGAAGUGGGGGGCCAGGAAACAUGGCGGCCGCUCGAAUGCUGCUCAGCGGAGGCCGUUAGGUCAUGGAGGGCCUGGGAAGGCGGCCUAAGGCCGCAGGCGGUCUCGGCCGCCUCUUUAGGCCACGGAGCCGUGCAGAUCCAGGUCCCCAGUGACCACUCCGUCACCAUCGGGCGAGACCUACCUAGUCCUGACAACGGACAAAGGCCUUAACAGGCCUGGGAGCUCCUGCCUGUACUCCAGCCUGUCUGGACCUCAACCAUCGAUCCAUGAAGUCUCCGAUUCAUGGUUGGCUUUUGUGGAGUUUGCAAUGAGACUGAGAUGAAUCUGCAGUGACUUCAGGACAGGAUCUGGAGUAUGUAUUUAUUUCAACAAUACCUCCCUGUAAUCAGCCUAUCAGGCAAUCACAGAGCUUUUAAUAGAAAGCUAGAUAAAACUAGUCCUCUACCUAACAGCUCGUUUUCCUUGUAGAUACUUAGUAUUGCAAAAAUCCCAUCUAGUGAAAGCUUUGGUAAGCUUUGGUUCCAGGUAAUCACAAUUUUAGAGUACAAAACCAUGAAAGACUUAUGAAGAUCACUGGGGUGGGGGUGGGGUGCUGGCAGCAGCAGCGCAAUGACCUCUGGUCCACUACAAAUAAACUCUUCAGUGACUUUCUUGAGUACUUUACCAUAUUUGUUCUUUGGACUUUGCAAAUGGUGCCAAUCAUGGCAGUCAGUGGACAGAUGAACCUAGUUGCCCAGCAGGGAAGUUGUGAUAUUCUUAGCAUCAGAGGGCCUCAAAUUGAUGUCAGUCUGUAGUGCUUCUCUGCCGUCUCUCAUGCCUCCUCAGCCCCCAUUUCACCUCAAGGACGAGCUCCCUUCCAGAGAAAAACCGAGAGUCGUCAUUUGCCUGCUCAACUAUUAAUACAGUUCCAUGUACCCUCUCUCUUCUCACUUCUUUUGAAGGUACUUCCCGCUCACAAAAACUCUUCAGCUAAGUUUCUGGGGAAUUUGCUGAGUGUCAAAGCAUGAAUUAAACCAGAAGAGAUAUGAUAGUGGGUUGUCUGAGAGGGAUGCCCAGCCUUGUGAACACUCCAUCUUCCAGUGUGGAUGGAGGAUUGCUUGCUCCCUGACCUGUGUCCACUGGGGACCCACAUAUACCGGGCAUUCUGCUCUCCAGAGACACACAGAAGACUCAUGGGUCAGUCACCGAAACCUGGGGCCACAGCUCAGACCUGAGCUGACUGUCAUGCCAGGCAAGGCUGAAAUAUUGUUCUUCUGUGUUGUGAGUUUUCUCAAGUAUCAUACAAAACUUUCUCCUUAAGCUUGAUCAGGCAAUCUGCAUAGUGAGAAGCGUGUGGGAUUUGGAGGCAAGCAACUUGUGUCUGAGUUUCAGGCCCCUGAUUCUGUGUAAAUCACAAUUCUCCCUACCUCUUGAUUUUCCUAAACUGUAAAUUGAGCUGCAUGCCACCUGCCCUAUUUCUUCAAAAGGUCCUUAUAAAGACUAAAUGAGGCACUGUGUACAAAAUAGCACAUUAAAACCACUUAUGAAUGUUAUUAUCCUUAUUAAGCACCAUCAAAGUUGAAGACAUGAACCUAGAAACCUCAGAGGACAAAAGAUGUGUGAAAAUAACCAAUUUUUCAGGAUACUACAAUCUGGUUGGAGAGAGCUCUGAUCCCUGCGUCUCUCCUGCCUCCUCUCCGUCCAUUCCAACUCCAGACAGAUUGAGGUACAUGUCACCGAUUUCUGGAAUUCUCUAUUGUCUCUGCAGACCCUGGAUCUUUGCAGAUGCUACUUUCCUUUGAGAAGCACUCUCUGCUCUCCAUGCCUAUCUUUUCUCCUCCUCUCAUUCUUCAUUUGGCUUAACUCCAGGAAGCCCACCCUGACCAGCCUCUGCUCCACAUCAAGUCUGAGACUGGAUCCAGCCCUCACAGCACUCUGAGCUCAUCCCUGUCACUGUCUACCCCUCACAAUACUGUAUUGUUCAUUAAUAGAUCUGUGUGCUCCCUGAGGGUCAGGAAAUGUGUCCUACACAGUCGCAUGGGGUUUAGAGUAAGUAUUGAAUUUCUAUUGGGUAAAUGAAAAAAACCAACCUACUAAAAUAGUUAAAUGCUGAGGGGCUCACCCAUCACACUAGAAGGGAUAUGACCUGAAACCCUGGGGACUCCUCAAUGGGCACUUCUUGGGACACUUCCUGAUUUCAAAGACCCCAGAAAAGAGGUCAGGUGGUCCACGACGCCAAAGCAUUCUGGUAAAAAGAUCCCAUUGCUUAGUAAAAAUUAAAGAAAGUAGAAGUAAAUUGGACAGACUGCAUCUCUUGAUCAGAAAUCAAAUCAAGAUUUCACCCAAAGAGAAGAAAUAAACCUCACUGAGCUUUGUGUGCAGUGCCCAUCACCUUAUACCUCCAUAGACUCUGGUGGGGGGUUCACACCAUGGAUUUCCUGCCUGUGUCCAGUUAAUUCCCCUUAAGUUAAUAUCUGGUGACACUACCAGGGGCCCAGCAAUUUGCAAAAGAGACAAAGGAAUUCAAUUCACUAAACACAGGCUAAAUGAACCAUUUAGCCAAUAGCCUCCUGUUCCUUAUCAGUGGGGCCUUGGACCUCAAUUCAUGCUCGCUGGGCUUUCAGACCUUUAGUGAAAUGGACAGAAAUACACAAAUUGGAGUGUGCUGCCACACAGCACUGAGUGCACAUGUGAUGAUUUUUUUUAAAUGGCCGCAAAUUCUUUGUCAUGUCUCCCCAUCAAGGGAUGGGGAUCUGUGUUUCCUCACCUUGAAUCUGGGUUAUGACUGCUUUGACCAGUAGAGUACAGUGGUCCGAUACUAUGUGACUUCUGCAUCUAGGUCUUAAAGGGCUAUACAGCUUCCGCCUGCUUCUGUUACAGUGUUCACUCUCUGGAAGGUCCCUUCUGGAACACGCCGUCAGAACCCACCUACUGUGUUAUAAGAAGCCCAAGUCACAUGAAAAGACCACUUGCAGAUGCUCUGUUGACUGUCCUAAGUGACCUUAGUGACCUUAAAUUCAAGUCAUCCUGGCCCAAACACCAGGCGAGUGAAGGAAUUGCCAGAUGGUUCUGGUACCCAGCAGAAGCCCCGGUGUCACGGAACAAGCCAUCCUUGCUGGGCUGUCCAAAUUCCUGAUUCAUAGAAUCACGUGCAUGACAAAAUAAUUGCUUAUGCCACUUACAAACAGACUUAUUGGCUUAUUAUGCAGCAAUAGACAAGAGCACACACUGUAGCACAUGAUGAGAAAUGCCCUUUGGGCAAGGAAGUCAGUAUGUUGGCACUGGAAAGCUGCUUACGUUUUGAGAACAAGCGAACAGAAUCUUUAAGGAAGUGGAGCACUGAAGUCCACACUGGGGCCUUGAGGUCUAAAUCCUGGAUCUCGAGUCUUUCCUGAAGGCUCACGCUGCCCGCCAGCAGUCUCUGGUUAAGGUUGGAGAGGCUUGGUGAAUGAUGCUCCUUCACCUUAUCCUCCCCUUUGGGUCUGGUCUGUGUCAUGUUUUAUACUGGACUGUCUCCUUCAUCUUUGUGUCCUCAGCCAAGCACAGUGGCUGGUCAGGAGGAGAAACAAAUUGUUGAACUGAACACAAAGGGAUGCAGGGAAAGGAUGGAGCAUCCUAGGUGUCAUUUCUUCCCUCUUGCCCCCCAGGUUUCCAGAUGAUCAGUUACCUGCUUCUGUGGCAGAAUAUGAUAGAAAAAGACUCAAAUUAGCAUUUAGUAAGCAGUUGCUACAUGGCAAAUGCUAUACAAGGUACUUUUAUGAUGACCUCAUUUAAUUUUAAAACCUCAGAAGGUGGACACCACAUUUAGGAGAAGAAGAAGUUUGGACUUACACGAUUCCCUUGCCCAAGGCCAUACUGAUGGAAAGUGAUGGAGCAGGAACAUGGCCCUGGGGUUCUGUCCCCAAAGCCUGUCCUGUUGUAUCUUAGGAGAUGAUACUGCUGGUUUGGGAGAAUGGAGGACUGAAGCUGGUGGGAGGCUUGCUCACAUGUGGGAAAGCCCCUUGGGGUGUAAGUAGAACAACUGUCUGGUGAGGAAUCAGUUCAGAAUCUUCAUGGGCAUUUACAGACAACCAGAAAGCUGCUGGGCAUCCAGUUCUAACAAAGGUCAGGGCCAGUGGGCUGAAGGGCAAGGGACACCAGGGGAAGUCUUGCUCAGUCAGACCAAUGGCAGGGGCCAAAACCCAGAAACCACCUGGCCCCACUGUCUGGACAUCGGUGUGACUUUCCUGCAGCCCAUGUGCUGAUGGGCUAUGCUGGAUGUGUGUGCCACCACAGACCAGUCAGAAUCCCGCAACUGACUAAAAAGGUGAUUUCAAAAAUGACUUCUUUUUCAUAAAGGAGAGAAACAAAGACCACACAAGAUCAUUUCCUAUUUGUGUCAUUUGACAGAAGACACAUUUCUUGUUGGGGAAACAAUGAAAAAAACCCCUCGGAUUAGUGCUAAACAAUUUCAUUCUGAAUAAACUGGAUUUACUGAGAAACAAAGAUAAACAGACUCAAUGACGGAUAAAGAAGGACAUUAAGCAGUCCAAGGUGGAGGAGUGAAAAGAGAGAGUGGACAGGAGGGAUGAUACGUCUGGUAAUUCUAAGUGUCAUUCUUUUUUUUUUUUUGAGACAGGGUCUGGCUCUGCCACCCAGCCUGGAGUGCAAGUGGUACAAUUUCGGCUCACUGCAACCUCUGCCUCCCAGGCUCAAGUGAUCUUCCUACCUCAGUCUCUUGAGUAGCUAGAACUACAGGCAUGCACUACCACAUCCAGCUAAUUUUUGUCUUUUUUUUGAGAUGGAGUUUCGCUGUUGUUACCCAGACUGGAGUGCAAUGGCACGAUCUCGGCUCACCGCAACCUCCGCCUCCUGGGUUCAAGCAAUUCUCCUGCCUCAGCCUCCCGAGUAGCUGGGACUACAGGCGCGCACCACCAUGCCCAGCUAAUUUUUGUAUUUUUAGUAGAGACAGGGUUUCAUCUUGUUGACCAGGAUGGUCUCGAUCUCUUGACCUCGUAAUCCACCGCCUCAGCCUCCCUAAGUGCUGGCAUUAUAGGCGUGAGCCACCGCGCCUGGCCUAUUUUCUUUUUUUUGAGAUGGAGUCUUGCUCUUGUUGCCCAUGCUGGUGUGCAGUGGUGCAAUCUCGGCUCACUGAACUUCCGCCUCCUACAUUCAAGGGAUUCUCCUGCCUCAGCCUUCUAAGUAGCUGGGAUUACCGGUACCUGCCACCAUGCCUGGCUAAUUUUUUUAUUUUUUAGUAGAGACAGGGUUUCACCAUGUUGGCCAGGCUAGUCUCAAACUCCUGACCUCAUGUGAGUCACCCACCUUGGCCUCCCAAAGUGCUGGGAUUACAGAUGUGAGCCACCGCCCAGCCUGGUUUCUGUGUUUUUUGUAGAGAUGAGGUCUUCCAAUUUUGCCCAGCCUAGUCUGGAACUCCUGAGUUCAAGCAGUCCACCCACCUCAGCCUCCCCAAGUGCUGAAAUUACAGGUCUAAGUGUAAUUCUGCCUCUUCUUCAUUACUCACUAGCUUCAAAAAAGAUGUUCAGAAAUUGUUUGACAGUUCCUUAAACGGUUAAGUAUAAAUCACUAUAUGACUAAACAGUUCCACUCAUGGGUAACUAUCCAAGGGAAAUGAAAUGAAAACGGAUGACUACACAAAGAACUCUAUAUGGAUGUUCCUAUCAGCAUUCUUUAUAAUAGUCAAAACUGGAAACAAUUCAUGCCCAUGAGCUGGCAAAUGGAUAAACAAGGUGUAGUACAUCCAUACGAUGGAAUGCGACUCAGCAACACAGAGCAACACAUUCCUGAAUGUGCUCCCACAGGGCCAAACCUCACGGUAUGCGAGAUGACACGGAUCAGACACAGACUAUACAUACACUGUGAGGCUGGGCACGGUGGCUGAAAGAUAAAUGUAAUAUAAAAGGUUUAGAUAGUAGGUAAUAAAGGUGCUACCCUUAUUAUUUUCCAAAGGUAGCAUCCAUAGAGUUCAAUUUUAAAUCAAUUCAUGGACAGACAGAUCUGAAAUAAGGUUAUUCACAGAAAUCAGGAAUGGCUGAAGGCACAUCUUAUUUUAGGAAGAACACUGUGGCAGCAAAAUGUGUGCCCAUGAGAGGCAGCACAGAGUUGGAUGGGUUGAGCAGAGUCCAGAGUCCAGGUGGUACCAUCUACGUAUUAAGAUUUUGUUUUCCGGCCGGGCGCAGUGACUCACACCUGUAAUCCCAGCACUUUGGGAGGCUGACGUGGGCAGAUCACCUAAGGUCAAGAGUUUGAGACCAGCCUGGCCAACAUAGUGAAACCCCGUCUCUACUAAAAAUACAAAAAUUAGCUGGCAUGGUGAUGCAUGUCUGUAGUCCCAGCUACUCAGGAGGCUGAGGCAGGAGAAUCGCUUGAGCCUGGCAGGCAGAGGUUGCAGUGAGCCGAGAUCACACCACUGCACUCCAGCCUGGGUGGCAGAGCCAGACCCUGUCUCAAAAAAAAAAAAAAUCUGUUUUUCAAAAACUUCCUGGGUAACGGGAGGCACAGUGCUACAGGUGGGAAAACCCACUCAAAUUCCCUCACACUGAUAAGACAAAACACUCUGGCUUUGGAGGGAGGCAGGCCAGGUUUGAAAUCAACUCUGCCUCUUAUCAAAGUCUUAAAUGUUUUCAACUGUAAAUGGACUUACUGCUACUUACCUUACAGUGCAGUCCUGAAGACCGAAUGAGUGACAUAUAAGGAAAGCGUACCUGCUGCUGAGGCGACCGCACCCCACUGCCCAUGCCUCCUGGAGAUUCUCUGCUUGUCUCUAGGGCAGGAGAACUGCAAUUUGCCAAUGUACAUAUGUUUUAAAGGAGUCGUGUCACAUUUCUUUCCAAAGCUUACCACUGUUUGGCCACGGUUCUUGAGCAUCAUCUGCUGUUUUUGGUAACUGUGGAGGAGGAAUGAAAUGAGGCUGUAGGUCCAUGCAGCACCUGCUUCACCCUGUGGUCUGCCCGAAGAAAUGGUGCAGAACAUUGAGAAAAAGGUACUAUGGGGGUCCAAAGUGGCUCCCGCUGGAGGUCAUGGCGCUUGCGAAGGUGAGGUCAUCAGUUCAAGGCUAACCUGAGCAACCUCAUAAGCUCAAACUGAUUGGCAAAAAAAAAAAAAAAAAAGAAAAAGGUACUAUGGAAAAAGGUUCUCAACUAAGUUCCAGUGUUUGUGAAACACGAUGCAGGCGGCCCAUCUAUGCCGGCUGCAGCUGGCUCAAACAGAGUUUAGACUCAUCAUUCAAUCUCAAAUAUUUAAUCUUUGUGUCUACGAGAGAGGGAAAAAUAUACCACCAAGAAAACGUUACAGAUUGACAUUAAAAAAAACCUUUCCUUUCUCCUUCCUUAAAGAAAAAUUACAGGACUGGGUGUAGUGGUUCUUUACUAUAAUCCCAGCACUUUGGGAGGUCAAGGCAGGAGGAUCACUUGAAAACAGGAAUUAAAGGCUGCAGUGAGCUACGAUCAUGCCAUGCACUUUAGCCUGGGCAACAGAGCAAGACCCAGCCUCGAAAAAAAAAAUUACAUAUUCUCAGCAUAUAAUUAAAAAUACAGUUAAGAAAAAAGCAAGCAGGCUGGGUGCGGGGGUUCACGUCUGUAAUCCCAGCGCUUUGGGAGGUCGAGGCAGGUGGAUCAUGAGAUCAGGAGUUCAAGACCAGCCUGGUCAACAUGGUGGAACCCCGUCUCUACUAAAAAUACAAAAAUUAGCCUGGCAUGGUGGAGGGCGCCUGUAAUCCCAGAUACAUGGAAGGCUGAGGCAGGAGAAUUUCUUGAACUCGGGAGGCGGAAGUUGCAGUGAGCCAAGACUGAGCCACAGCACUCCAGCCUGGACAACAGAGUGAGACUCUUGUCUCCAAAAAAAAAAAAAAAAGAAAAAGCAAGCAA